CGUUCUCAUGAAGACAAUUACUCACAUCAAAUCAAGAAGUACACAGAAAGCAAACUAAACCAAUCUCAGAAUCUCAGAUGAGCUCAAACAGGACAUCAAUUAUGUCAAAGUUCCCACUUUAUGCAACAUUGCCGCUAAGAAUUGCAUCGUUUUCAUCAGUGGUUCUGCGAGUUUCAACGCAGUUGCUAAGCGUUGCAGGAUUUUUCUUGGUUUCCAAUGAAGGCGAAGAUGCAACAAGAUGCUUUCAUUGUGGAAUCGGGUUACGCAAUUGGAGCCAGGAUGAUGACCCGUGGGUUGAGCAUGCACGUUUCUCUCCCAAUUGUGACUUUCUGUUGAACAUGAAGGGACAGGAGUUUGUGGAUCUUGUCCAGUUAGCGGUUAAAUAUUCAUCAAAUACAUGUAGACACUGAGGAAACAGCCAGAUAAGACUUGUUGAGGCAGAAAGCUGAGUAAGGCAUCUUCACGAAGUGUAUGUACCGUACCCGCAGUGAGGUUUGCCUGGUUUUCCUACCCUGUGGCCACCUAUUUUUUUGCGAGGGACGUGGCAAGGAGCAGCGAAUUUGCAAACUAAGUUGAAGCAGUGUCAAAAAUACAGUGCGCACAUUUAAAUCUUUGGGACAUUACAAUACUACGUCCAACAUAAUAAUUCACCUAAAUGAUAUAAUUCUUUGUUGAAUAGUAUAUCGGACAAUUUACUAUAACUAGCACAGCAAGCUAAAAUUAUUACUUAUGAAUAGAAGGUACCAUGCUGUUGGUCAAAGUAUAGCAGCAUGAAAUUUGCAUACAAUACCAUGCACUGAUUAAGUAUACGUUUGCAUUCCAGACAUACUGUUUCACAUUAACUUUAUAUCGAGAUAUUAACAUACAUAGAGAUGUAGCAUAUGAGUAUGUAUGUUUAUGUUCAAUUAUAUACUUGAACAUAUAAAAUGUAAUACAUUUACUUGAGUUUUAUGUUGUUGGUAUUGAUGCGGAGGAUAUAAAAGAAAUGAAAUAUACAAUGCCUUUUUUCUACUUGCAAUAUUGUUUAAUAACAGAACAAUUAUUAAAGAUUGAAAAUAUG